CGAGCGCACCCUUGUCCUUAUUUGCCAGCACGUAAUGGUGGGAACUCUAAGGAGACUGCCGGUGACAAACCGGAGGAAGGUGGGGACGACGUCAAGUCAUCAUGGCCCUUAUGACCAUGGGCUACACACGUGCUACAAUGGGGCGUACAGAGGGUUGCUANNCCGCGAGGUGGAGCCAAUCCCAUAAAACGUUUCGUACUCCGGAUCGAAGUCUGCAACUCGACUUCGUGAAGUCGGAAUCGCUAGUAAUCGCGAAUCAGCAUGUCGCGGUGAAUACGUUCCCGGGCCUUGCACACACCGCCCGU
rnacentral:rRNA from 1 species